rnacentral:rRNA from 1 species
GACGAACGCUGGCGGUGUGCCUAAUACAUGCAAGUAGAACGCUGAAGAGAGGAGCUUGCUCUUCUUGGAUGAGUUGCGAACGGGUGAGUAACGCGUAGGUAACCUGCCUUGUAGCGGGGGAUAACUAUUGGAAACGAUAGCUAAUACCGCAUAACAAUGGAUGACACAUGUCAUUUAUUUGAAAGGGGCAAUUGCUCCACUACAAGAUGGACCUGCGUUGUAUUAGCUAGUAGGUGAGGUAAUGGCUCACCUAGGCGACGAUACAUAGCCGACCUGAGAGGGUGAUCGGCCACACUGGGACUGAGACACGGCCCAGACGCCUACGGGAGGCAGCAGUAGGGAAUCUUCGGCAAUGGGGGCAACCCUGACCGAGCAACGCCGCGUGAGUGAAGAAGGUUUUCGGAUCGUAAAGCUCUGUUGUAAGUCAAGAACGGGUGUGAGAGUGGAAAGUUCACACUGUGACGGUAGCUUACCAGAAAGGGACGGCUAACUACGUG